AUGAAUCUCAUCAGUUGGAACUACCGGGGAAGGGGGAACGCCCGGACAGUUCGUGAAAUUGCGACGAUCUCCCAGUUGCAUUCCCCCAAGCUGAUCUUCCUCUGCGAGACAAAGCAAAAAGCAACAAAGAUGAGGAGGAUACAAGCUCGUACUGGUUUGAAGGGUUUCGUUGGUGUUGACAGUAACGGUAUGAGUGGUGGUUUGGCGCUUUUU
rnacentral:rRNA from 1 species